AGAGCCAGCGAGGCGGUUGCGGAGGAGAUUCCCUCUGAGGAAAGUCCGGGCUCCCGAAAGACCAGACUUGCUGGGUAACGCCCAGUGCGAGCGAUCGUGAGGAUAGUGCCACAGAAACAUACCGCCCCUAGGAUCUUAAUUUUUAGGAUCUGAAAGGUAAGGGUGCAAAGGUGCGGUAAGAGCGCACCAGCAGCAUCGUGAGGUGCUGGCUCGGUAAACCCCGGUGGGGAGCAAGGCCGAUGGAACCAGGGUUGGUCUUUUUCCAGUUCCGUGCCGCAGGGGCAACUUUGCGGAGUGCCGCUUGAGGCUGUUGGUAACAACCGUCCUAGAUAGAUAACUGCCCGCGUCAGCUUGCUGAUGUGAACAGAACCCGGCUUAUGUCUGACUCUUCUC
rnacentral:RNase_P_RNA from 1 species